AGAGUUUGAUCCUGGCUCAGAUUGAACGCUGGCGGCAGGCCUAACACAUGCAAGUCGAGCGGAUGAAGAGAGCUUGCUCUCUGAUUCAGCGGCGGACGGGGGAGUAAUGCCUAGGAAUCUGCCUAUUAGUGGGGGACAACGUUUCGAAAGGAACGCUAAUACCGCAUACGUCCUACGGGAGAAAGCAGGGGACCUUCGGGCCUUGCGCUAAUAGAUGAGCCUAGGUCGGAUUAGCUAGUUGGUGAGGUAAUGGCUCACCAAGGCGACGAUCCGUAACUGGUCUGAGAGGAUGAUCAGUCACACUGGAACUGAGACACGGUCCAGACUCCUACGGGAGGCAGCAGUGGGGAAUAUUGGUCAAUGGGCGCAAGCCUGAACCAGCCAUCCCGCGUGCAGGAUGACGGCCCUAUGGGUUGUAAACUGCUUUUAUACACCAAGAAAAAACAGGACGUGUCCUGGUCUGACGGUAGUGUAUGAAUAAGCAUCGGCUAACUCCGUGCCAGCAGCCGCGGUAAUACGGAGGAUGCAAGCGUUAUCCGGAUUCAUUGGGUUUAAAGGGUGCGUAGGCGGCUUUUUAAGUCAGUGGUGAAAUCUUGCCGCUUAACGGUAAAAUUGCCAUUGAUACUGAAAAGCUUGAGUACAUUUGAGGUAAGCGGAAUGUGUAGUGUAGCGGUGAAAUGCUUAGAUAUUACACAGAACACCAAUUGCGAAGGCAGCUUACUAAACUGUGACUGACGCUGAUGCACGAAAGCGUGGGGAGCGAACAGGAUUAGAUACCCUGGUAGUCCACGCCGUAAACGAUGCUCACUCGCUGUUUGCGAUACACAGCAAGCGGCCAAGCGAAAGCAUUAAGUGAACCACCUGGGGAGUACGAUCGCAAGGUUGAAACUCAAAGGAAUUGACGGGGGCCCGCACAAGCGGAGGAACAUGUGGUUUAAUUCGAUGAUACGCGAGGAACCUUACCUGGGCUUAAAUGUAGAGCGACAGAUUGUGAAAGCAGUCCUUCUUCGGACGAUCUACAAGGUGCUGCAUGGUUGUCGUCAGCUCGUGCCGUGAGGUGUCGGGUUAAGUCCCAUAACGAGCGCAACCCUUAUCGUUAGUUGCCAGCGGGUCAAGCCGGGGACUCUAGCGAGACUGCCACCGUAAGGUGUGAGGAAGGUGGGGAUGACGUCAAAUCAGCACGGCCCUUAUGUCCAGGGCUACACACGUGUUACAAUGGCAAGUACAAAGGGCAGCUACCAGGUGACUGGAUGCUAAUCUCUAAAGUCGGUCGUAGUUC
rnacentral:rRNA from 1 species